rnacentral:lncRNA from 1 species
AUGUGGCUGCAUGGGACGUGAUUUUCAGUAAAGACGUCCAUGACCCUGCAGUGGCACUUGUAUGAGAUGGCACGCAACCUGAAGGUGCAGGAUAUGCUGCGGGCAGAGGUCUUGGCUGCGCGGCACCAGGCCCAGGGAGACAUGGCCACGAUGCUACAGCUGGUCCCCCUCCUCAAAGCCAGCAUCAAGGAGACACUAAGACUUCACCCCAUCUCCGUGACCCUGCAGA